rnacentral:rRNA from 1 species
AUGGGCAGGAUGGAUAUAGAUUAUCAAGUUUUGCAUGAUGCAUUCUUCAAAUAUCAAACAAAACCCAAUUUGACUAGUCAUGGUGAUCUAUAUUAUGAAGGGAAAGAGUUUGAGGUGAAGCUUAGGGAAAUGAAACAAGGUAUGCUAUCCAGGGAGCUUAAAGAAGCUCUUGGUAUGCCUGAUGGUGCCCCAUCCCCAUGGCUUAAAAGCAUGCAGAUGUAUGGUCCUCCACCCUCUUAUCCUUGUCAGAAGAUCCCAGGUUUAAAUGCCCUAGUAUCUACCGGAGACAGUUUUGGUGAUGCACCAGGGGAGUGGGGAAAGCCUCCUAUAGGCGAGCAUGGGUACCCACUAUAUGGAAAUGUUUCUUGGUUUCUGCAGCCGGACGAACCUAAUUACCAUGAAGAACCUCUCGAUCGCAGCAAGCACUGA